rnacentral:rRNA from 1 species
GAUGAACGCUGGCGGCGCGCCUAACACAUGCAAGCCGAACGAUUAAAGCACCUUCGGGUGUGUAUAAAGUGGCGAACGGCUGAGUAACACGUGGGCAACCUGCCCCUCUCAUUGGGAUAGCCACGGGAAACCGUGGAUAAUACCGAAUACUUCGGGACUUCCGCAUGGAAGACUCGAGAAAGCUCCGGCGGAGAGGGAUGGGCCCGCGGCCUGUUAGCUUGUUGGUGGGGUAACGGCCUACCAAGGCAAUGAUGGGUAGCUGGGUUGAGAGACCGACCAGCCAGAUUGGGACUGAGACACGGCCCAGACUCCUACGGGAGGCAGCAGUGGGGAAUCUUGCACAAUGGGCGAAAGCCUGAUGCAGCGACGCCGCGUGCGGGAUGAAGGCCUUCGGGUUGUAAACCGCUUUCAGCAGGGACGAGGCGAAAGUGACGGUACCUGCAGAAGAAGCCCCGGCUAACUACGUGCCAGCAGCCGCGGUAAUACGUAGGGGGCAAGCGUUAUCCGGAUUCAUUGGGCGUAAAGCGCUCGUAGGCGGUCUGUUAGGUCGGGAGUUAAAUCCGGGGGCUCAACCCCCGUUCGCUCCCGAUACCGGCAGACUUGAGUUUGGUAGGGGAAGGUGGAAUUCCUAGUGUAGCGGUGGAAUGCGCAGAUAUUAGGAAGAACACCAGUGGCGAAGGCGGCCUUCUGGGCCAUAACUGACGCUGAGGAGCGAAAGCUAGGGGAGCAAACAGG